UACCAGCUCUCCGAGUGGUAGGGACGAUUAUUGGGCUUAAAGCGUCCGUAGCCGGCUUAGCAAGUCUCCUGUCAAAUUCAGCGACCUAAUCGUUGAGCCGCGGGAGACACUACUAGGCUAGGAGGCAGGAGAGGCCGACGGUAUUCUCGGGGUAGGGGUGAAAUCCUAUAAUCCCGGGAGGACCACCAGUGGCGAAGGCUGUCGGCUAGAACGCGCUCGACGGUGAGGGACGAAAGCUGGGGGAGCGAACCGGAUUAGAUACCCGGGUAGUCCCAGCUGUAAACGAUGCGGGCUAGGUGUUGGGGUGGCUACGAGCCACUUCAGUGCCGCAGGGAAGCCAUUAAGCCCGCCGCCUGGGGAGUACGGCCGCAAGGCUGAAACUUAAAGGAAUUGGCGGGGGAGCACCACAAGGCGUGAAGCUUGCGGUUC
rnacentral:rRNA from 1 species